rnacentral:rRNA from 1 species
GCAAGUCGAGGGGUAACAUUGUAGCUUGCUACAGAUGACGACCGGCGCACGGGUGCGUAACGCGUAUAGAACCUACCUUUUACAGGGGAAUAGCCCAGAGAAAUUUGGAUUAAUGCCCCAUGGUAUUAUUGAAUGGCAUCAUUUAAUAAUUAAACAUUUAUGGGUAAAAGAUGGCUAUGCGUUCUAUUAGCUAGAUGGUAAGGUAACGGCUUACCAUGGCGACGAUCCCUAGCUGGUCUGAGAGGAUGAUC